rnacentral:lncRNA from 1 species
GUGUUGAUUCUGGGUUACUUUAUUAUGAUCUAAAAUAUCAUCAUCUCUUAAAUAUUAGUUCAUGGGACUGGAUAGUGAUUGACUUUUGAGUGGCCUUCCUCAAAGCAUGGUCUGAAGACCACUGCAUCAGGAUCACCAGAGCCUCUUGUUGAAAAUAAAAAAAAAACACCUCUGUUUGCAUCUGUAGACAAAGAUCUGUUCAGAAUGGUUGGCUUUGUGAGGUGCUGUGAGACAGAGAUGAAAAAGACAAUCUUCCAAGCCUUAGGAAAAAAAUAUUAACCAACCAUCUCUAGGAAAUUGCAAAAUAGUUUCUACUUUAUCAGGAUUUCCAAUUCCAGGUGAAUAGGAUAAAGAUGAUGGUCUUUGGAGGCAAAAAAAGUGUUACUGGGAAAGAAGUGAUAACCAGACACAUUCACAUCAUUAUGCACCAUCUCUGUUCUGAUAGAGAAGCCAAAAGCACAGGGCCAAUCCUUUGCUUAAGUUAUGAGCAUGGUAUGUAUGACCUAUGUCACACAUGUUAUUUAAAAUGCACAUUUUAGCCUAUUCAAGAGUUCUUUUUCUGAAAAGUAAAUUUUAGACAUUUUUGUAAAGUCUUAGGAAAUUAAGAAAGAGGAUUUAUGAGUUAAUAUAUGUACAGCUCUUAGAAAGUACAUAUAGCUCAAAGUUCUCUGCAUUUAUUAUUAUGGUAUGUAUAAUAGUCACUGUUGACUUAGUUAACGUUAAGUAAAUAUUAAGCAUC